UACGGAGGGCGCGAGCGUUGUCCGGAAUCACUGGGCGUAAAGCGCGCGCAGGCGGAUGGUGGCGUCCGGAGUGAAAUUUCGCCGCUCAACGGCGAAGCUGCUUUGGAUACGGACCGUCUAGGGACCGGUAGAGGCUGGUAGAAUUGCAGGUGUAGCGGUGGAAUGCGUAGAGAUCCGGAGGAACACCAGAGGCGAAGGCGGCCCACUGGCUCGCCCUUGACGCUGCACCGCGAAAGCUAGGGGAGCGAACGGG
rnacentral:rRNA from 1 species